rnacentral:rRNA from 1 species
AACGCUAGUAGUAUGCUUUACACAUGCGAGUUUAACGGAAUAAUUUUUUUUCGUGGCGGACGGGUGAGGAAAAUGCAGUAAUUUUGCCUUUUAAUUUAUGAUAAAACAUAUUCAAAAGAUUACAAGUUCUUUUUGAAUAAAAAUGUUAAAGUUUUUGUUAAUAAUAAAUAAAAAUAAAGAUUGUUUAAAAAUAAUCGUUAAAAGAUAAAGCUGCGUAAGAUUAGGUAGUUGUUAAUUUAAAAGACUAACAAGCCUGCGAUCUUUAGUUGAUCUUAGAGGAUGAUCAACCACACUGGAACUGAGACAAGGUCCAGGCUAAAAUUUUUGGCCAGCAGUGAGGAAUAUUGGACAAUGAACGAAAGUUUGAUCCAGCAAUACUAUCUGAAUGAUGGACGGCUAUUUAGUUGUAAAAUUCUUUCGUUAAAGAUGAUAAUGACAUUAUUUAAAGAAGUAAGUCCCGGCU